rnacentral:rRNA from 1 species
AACGUAGGAGCCUAGCGUUAUCCGAAUUCACUGGGCGUAAAGCGCGUGCAGGCGGUUCGGUAAGUUGGAUGUGAAAUCUCCUGGCUCAACUGGGAGAGAACGUUCAAGACUGUCGGACUAGAGGACGGUAGAGGAAGGUAGAAUUCCCGGUGUAGUGGUGAAAUGCGUAGAUAUCGGGAGGAACACCAGUGGCGAAGGCGGCUCUCUGGGCCCUACCUGACGCUGAGACGCGAAAGCGUGGGGAGCGAACCGG